UACGGAGGGGGCUAGCGUUGUCCGGAUUUACUGGGCGUAAAGAGCGCGCAGGCGGCUGGUCAAGUCCGAUGUGAAAUCGUCCCGGCCUCAACUGGGAAACUGCAUCGGAAACUGAUCGGCUUGAAGGGUGGGAGAGGGUAGUGGAAUUCCCGGUGUAGUGGUGAAAUGCGCAGAUAUCAGGAGGAACACCGGUGGCGAAGGCGGUUCUCUGGGCAUUACCUGACGCUGGGGAGCGAAAGCAUGGGGAGCGAACGAGG
rnacentral:rRNA from 1 species